CAAAAACAAAAUAUGCCACCUGUGAGUGAGUCAGAGGACCUAAUUGACCGUCCCUGCGAGACCCUGGAGGACCUGGAGACAUUGGAGAAGGAGCUGGAGGACAAGUCAAAAAAAUGACUAUGUACCUGCGCUCACUCAGCGGAUGAUUGGAGCAUGCCAGAAAUUGCAUAAAGUGAAGGCAGAUGAGGUGGAAGAUUCCAUUGGCCAGGCACUGAAAUUUGCGCCACAUAGACAAUUAAAGUGGUAAAUGAGUCAUUAAUGAUUUCAUCAUAACUGCUCUCUUAAAAAGGUUUUGAUCUAGCACUAAUAACAAUCUUGCAAGUUUUUCUUUGUUAAAGAUGGAAGAGGAAAGGAGGAGGAGAAGUACAAAACUGUAGUUUAAUCAAAUCUAAUUUAUGGAUCUCAUGUCUUGUCAUUUACUUGAUAUAGUGGAUAAGGUGUAUGAUAAUUAGUACAAAUUCCAGUGAUAUCUGUGUACAAAUGCCAGUGAUAUCUGUGUACAAAUUCAAGUAAUGUCUGUGUUCUACUAAUAGUAGUGGCCUAGUACAACAUGUAUAUCUAUAUAGCAGUGACUACAGAGGUAGCUUUGAUCAUUGGGACAGAUAGGUGGACAGGUGGGAAAGUGAUUUGGAGAAAAUGACUGCAAAGAUGGAGGAUUGUGCAACUUAUAGCAAAAAAAGUGAACACAGUUUCCUGAAUAUCAUCAAAUAUUGAACAAUGAAGAGGAAUGGUUUAGAUGGUAAUGCAGGUCACGGCCACAGCUAGAUCUUGACAAAAAAGAAUGUAACUGUCCAUUGUGAGUCUGUGUGACAAUGUUAUUGGAGGGCAAUGCUAAUUCAGUGGAGUGCAA